GAGGGUAUAGCUCAAGUGGUAGAGCACUUGCGUAGCAUGCAUGAGGUCCUGGGUUCAAUCCCAGUACCUCCU
rnacentral:tRNA from 1 species